GAAAAUGUAUUACACAGACACAAAAUAAUAUAACAGCAUUGCUGUCAUUCAACUAUAUAGGACCUUACAAUUUGCUUUAUUUAAUACUUGAAAAUUACAAGUUUCACACUUUUCUGUCAAUAAUUUAGUAUUAAUUUCUCCUCCUUGUUUUCAAAAUCUGGAAUUUUCCCUAUAUUUAAAAAUUUGUAGAUCUGUUAUAAUAUAUUUUUUUAAGUGGAUACUUCUUUUAUUUUAAGGAUAUUGGCUUUUAUUGGUUCAGGAAUUGACGCAUAGCAAUUCAGUUUAAUCAGAUUAUAACAUCUAGUUCAUUUCCUGUUCAAUUUGUUAAAUAUUUUAGUAUCCGUCCAAUGAAUUUGUUGGUCUAGUCUGUGAUAUUAUAUCCUUAAAUGUAUCUUAAUUUCUUCUUAAUUUCUUCUAAUAAAACAAUUACUAAUAUUAAUUUUUGUACUGUAAUAAAAUAAAAAUGGAACAUUUGUCG
rnacentral:lncRNA from 1 species